AAAGAAUUAGUUAAAAAUAUAAUUUGAAUUUGUCAAAUUCAAGUUGCCUGUAUGGUAUUCUUUU
rnacentral:tRNA from 1 species